rnacentral:rRNA from 1 species
GACGAACGCUGGCCGCGUGCUUAACACAUGCAAGUCGAACGGAAGGGCCCUGCUUUUGUGGGGUGCUCGAGUGGCGAACGGGUGAGUAACACGUGAGUAACCUGCCCUUGACUUUGGGAUAACUUCAGGAAACUGGGGCUAAUACCGGAUAGGAGCUCCUGCUGCAUGGUGGGGGUUGGAAAGUUUCGGCGGUUGGGGAUGGACUCGCGGCUUAUCAGCUUGUUGGUGGGGUAGUGGCUUACCAAGGCUUUGACGGGUAGCCGGCCUGAGAGGGUGACCGGCCACAUUGGGACUGAGAUACGGCCCAGACUCCUACGGGAGGCAGCAGUGGGGAAUAUUGCACAAUGGGCGGAAGCCUGAUGCAGCAACGCCGCGUGCGGGAUGACGGCCUUCGGGUUGUAAACCGCUUUCGCCUGUGACGAAGCGUGAGUGACGGUAAUGGGUAAAGAAGCACCGGCUAACUACGUG